rnacentral:tRNA from 1 species
GGGCUUAUGGCUCAACGGAAGAGCAUCUGCUUUGCAUGCAAAAGGUCCUGGGUUCAAUUCCUGGGAUCUCCA